UACGUAGGGUGCGAGCGUUAAUCGGAAUUACUGGGCGUAAAGCGUGCGCAGGCGGUUUUGUAAGCCAGAUGUGAAAUCCCCGGGCUUAACCUGGGAAUGGCAUUUGGGACUGCAAGGCUUGAGUGCGGCAGAGGAGACUGGAAUUCCUGGUGUAGCAGUGAAAUGCGUAGAUAUCAGGAGGAACACCGAUGGCGAAGGCAGGUCUCUGGGCUGACACUGACGCUCAUGCAUGAAAGCGUGGGGAGCAAACAGG
rnacentral:rRNA from 1 species